AGGCAAGCUACCCCAGAAAUGGAUAACAGAUUACCCAGAUGCCUGGGCAGAAACUGCUGGGUUAAGCCUAGCCAUGAAACAACCUCCAAUAACAGUGGAGUUAAAAACCUCAGCCUCCCCAAUCAAUGUCAAACAAUAUCCUCUGAGCAAAGAAACUAAAGAUGGGAUAAGGCCCCAUAUUCAGAAAUAUCUGGCCUUAGGGGCCCUAAAGUCCUGUCAAUCGGCCUGGAACACUCCCCUGCUACCAAUGAAAAAGCCAGAAACCGGGGACUAUCGCCCCAUUCAAGACCUAAGAGAAAUCAACAACAGAGUGCAGGACAUUCACCCCACAGUACCUAAUCCAUACAAUCUGCUUAGCACCCUGAACCCUGAGCAAAAAUGGUAUACUGUUCUGGACUUAAAAGAUGCUUUCUUUUGCUUGCCUCUGCAUAAAGAUAGUCAGUUGCUGUUUGCUUUCGAGUGGGUAGACCCAGAAACCGGAAUGUCUGGUCAACUAACUUGGACUAGACUCCCACAGGGGUUCAAAAACUCCCCCACUCUCUUUAAUGAAGCCCUCCACAGAGAUCUCAACAACUUCAGAACUACGCACCCCGAAGUCACCCUACUUCAAUAUGUGGCUGACCUGCUACUGGCAACAGACAAUGAGGAAAACUGUGAGUCUGGGACCCAAGCACUAUUAUCCGAGCUUGCUCAACUCGGGUAUAGAGCUUCUGCCAAUAAGGCCCAAAUUUGCCAGCAAGAAGUAAUCUUCCUGGGCUAUUCCCUUAGGGGCGGUAAACAAUGGCUCACUGAGCCCAGAAAACAAACCGUUGUGCAGAUACCACCCCCAUCUAACAGGAGGCAACUCAGAGAGUUUCUUGGGACUGCUGGCUUUUGCAGGUUAUGGAUACCUGGGUUUGCAUCCUUAGCUGCUCCUUUAUACCCAUUGUUAAAGGGAGAUGCCCAAUUCCAAUGGACCCCUGAGCACCAACAAGCUUUUGAUAAAUCAAAAGGGUGCUGCUAUCUGCUCUGGCCUUAGCACUCCUGGAUGUAGAAAAACCCUUUACUCUCUACAUUGAGGAAAAGAAAGGAAUAGCACGAAGAGUGCUCACUCAGACUCUAGGACCCUGGAAAAGGCCUAUAGCCUACUUGUCUAAAAAGCUGGACUCAGUGGCUACUGGAUGGCCCCAUUGCCUAAAAGCUAUAGCAGCGGUGGCCCUACUAAUCAAGGAUGCUGAUAAGUUAACGCUGGAGCAGAAGCUAACCAUUAUAGUCCCCCAUGCCCUAGAGAGCAUCAUCCGCCAGCCACCAGACAGAUGGCUAUCAAACUCUAGAAUAACACACUAUCAGAGCCUGUUGCUUGACAAGGACAGAAUAACGCUGGGACCCCCCCCACCCCACUUAACCUGGCUACACUACUACCUG
rnacentral:lncRNA from 1 species